UUUUAUUUUCAGCCAUAGAUUUUGAGCACUUUCGAUCGUUAGUGUCACGCCCCCGCCCCGAAGCCGAUACCAAUUUGGCCGGUUCGGGCGCGGCGAACGGACCGCCGAACGGACAGCACCUCCCCUGUCCGCCCAAGGCUCAAUGACGAGAUUGUGUACAACAAGUUUCCAGGACAACAACUUGAAUACAUACACAAUCAUACAACAACAACGAAAGCAUGAUAAGUGCUAUACAAUACGAGAGCAAGCAUCACG
rnacentral:lncRNA from 1 species